rnacentral:misc_RNA from 1 species
AACGCAUAUUGCACUCGUGUGCUUCGGCACCGAGUAUGCUUCUUUCAGUGUCAUUGACUACCAUCUCACCCUCAACUUGGGGGUGGUCUAUGGGCGUCACGGCUGAUCCACAUUAGCCGGGUCGCUCCAAGCAAAGAGGCGUUGCACCUCGCACACACCAAACGCAACCGACGUAGCAAGUAGGCGCGCAAGCGUCGCACUCUCGUCGAAGCGGUGCGAGAAGGUGAUUGCGGGUCGAGGAAUGAAAUCUUCGGUUUCCUCAACUGGAAGCUUGACUAAAAAGAAAGUAGGGCUACCCGCCGAACUUAA